AUGGGGACUAGUCCGGGUGGUUCGGCGUCACCUGUCACCUGAAACCGUCGGUAUGCAGGGGGCGAAGUUUGAGGAAGGCCGAGGCGGGCUUCGGGAGCCGGGAGUCUCCUGACGUUGAAACCUCGUCCCAUGAGGUCGGUGGACAGGGUUCAAUGCUCCGGAGGGAGCGGCGACCUGCUACUGCGGGGAACGGUUCAGGCCCGGAAGGGAGCAGACUUACCGUAGACAUUCGGCGCCCAUGGGGUUGCGGGGCGGAGGAGGGGGUCUCCGGUGAACGCUGACACGUGCGGUCGACCAAGAACGUGUCCCCAC
rnacentral:SRP_RNA from 1 species